AUGUUUGAUGAAGCAAAUCCAAUAAUGGAGUGGCUGAAUGAGGAUGAAGAGGAUCCAAUUGUGGAUGUAGCUGAUGCAGCCAGUGCUGUUUUUGAGAAAAUAAGGCGUCUCAACUCAAGCAGGAAGGAUUCUUAUGUUGGUACAAAAGGUAAUAAGAAGAAAAGAAAGAGGAAUCAUGAUGAGGAGAAUGAGUAUGUCGAAACUGAGAGUGAGGAUGACGAUGAAGAGAAUGAGUAUGUUGAUAAUGAGAGUGAGGAUGAUGAUGGGGUGAGUGAGGAUGAUGAGGAUGAUCAACAAGAUCAGCAAGAGACACAAAUGCAAGUGGAAGAAGAGACACAAGUACAAGCUGAAAAGGAGACAGCAGCAAGUGUUGGCAAUUUGGAGGCUCGUAGAUCUGGACGACUAGUUAGGAAGAAGACCAAGGAAGUGAACAGCCUCUACUCGUAG
rnacentral:rRNA from 1 species